CCUACGGGAGGCAGCAGUAGGGAAUCUUCCUCAAUGGGCGCAAGCCUGAUGGAGCAACGCCGCGUGGGUGAAGAAGGUCUUCGGAUCUUAAAACUCUGUUGUUAGAGAAGUAAGUGGGUGAGAGUAUCUCUUUUCGUUUCUACGGUAUCUAUCAAGAACGCCUCGGCUAAUUCCGUGCCAGGAGCUGCGGCAAAACGUAGGAGGCUAGCGUUAUCCGGAUUUAUUGGGCGUAAAGGGAUCGCAGACGGUCUGUUAAGUCUGAUGUGAAACCUUUCGGCUUAACCGUAGCAGUGCAUUGGAUACUGGGAGUCGUGAGUGCAGUAGAGGUGGGCGGAACUCGAGGUGUAGCGGUGAAAUGCGUAGAUAUAAGGAAGAACACCGAUGGCGAAGGCAGCUCACUAAUCUGUCACUGACGCUGAGGCUCGAAAGCGUGGGUAUCAAACAGGAUUAGAUACCCGGGUAGUC
rnacentral:rRNA from 1 species